UCCGGGAUGGUCCAGUCUGGUUAGGAUGACGGGUUCUGAUCUCGUAGGCCCAGGUUCGAAUCCUGGUCCCGGAA
rnacentral:tRNA from 1 species